GCUCUGGUGGCUCAAUCGGAUAGAGCGUUGGGCUUCUAAUCCAAAGGUGGCGGGAUCAAGUCCCGCCCAGAGUU
rnacentral:tRNA from 1 species